CCUACGGGAGGCAGCAGUGGGGGAUAUUGCACAAUGGGGGAAACCCUGAUGCCGCGACGCCGCGUGUAGGAAGACGGUCCUCUGGAUUGUAAACUACUGUCCCCAGGGACGAAGAUGACGGUACCUGGGGAGGAAGCUCCGGCUAACUACGUGCCAGCAGCCGCGGUAAUACGUAGGGAGCGAGCGUUGUCCGGAAUUACUGGGUGUAAAGGGAGCGUAGGCGGGGAUGCAAGUUGGGUGUUAAAUCUACGGGCUCAACUGGUAGUCGCACUCAAAACUGCAGCUCUUGAGUGAAGUAGAGGCAGGCGGAAUGCCUAGUGUAGCGGUGAAAUGCGUAGAUAUUAGGAGGAACACCAGUGGCGAAGGCGGCCUGCUGGGCUUUUACUGACGCUGAGGCUCGAAAGUGUGGGGAGCAAACAGGAUUAGAUACCCCAGUAGUC
rnacentral:rRNA from 1 species